rnacentral:rRNA from 1 species
GACGAACGCUGGCGGCGUGCUUAACACAUGCAAGUCGAACGGUAAGGCCCUUCGGGGUACACGAGUGGCGAACGGGUGAGUAACACGUGGGUGAUCUGCCCUGCACUUCGGGAUAAGCCUGGGAAACUGGGUCUAAUACCGGAUAGGACCACUGCCUGCAUGGGUGGUGGUGGAAAGCUUUUGCGGUGUGGGAUGGGCCCGCGGCCUAUCAGCUUGUUGGUGGGGUGAUGGCCUACCAAGGCGACGACGGGUAGCCGGCCUGAGAGGGUGACCGGCCACACUGGGACUGAGAUACGGCCCAGACUCCUACGGGAGGCAGCAGUGGGGAAUAUUGCACAAUGGGCGCAAGCCUGGUGCAGCGACGCCGCGUGAGGGAUGACGGCCUUCGGGUUGUAAACCUCUUUCAGCUCCGACGAAGCGCAAGUGACGGUAGGUGCAGAAGAAGGACCGGCCAACUACGUGCCAGCCGCCGCCGUAAAAC